CCUGGGAAAGGACAGGAAUGCGUAAGAAAGUCCAAUCCCAGGAAGAAGAUGCUGGUUUCAGAUGACAUCAGACGUGAAUGAGGGGGUGGUCUUCCUGCUUGACUUUUGCAACAAUUAUGUGCUGACUGCUGGACAUAUUUGCUCUCUGAUCAGAUUCAGCCUGCUCCGCCCGGUCGAUGGCGUUCUCCUUAUCCACCUUAAGCAUCUGCAUCUUCUUCUUAAUGGCCUCCAUUCUUCCCUUUGUGCUUUGGGUGUCUGUACUGACAGGGAACUAAGGGGAAACCUGAGGCAGAGAGAGAAAUAACAGAGCUUUUGCUUGUCAGAUGAGGGGAUGAAGUCCACCCGCAAUGACGCCAGAGAGAGGAGGGGGUGUACUAUGAAAUGUAAUGCUGUUGUGGAUGAAGACGAGACCCUCAGACUACCCUGUCUGAACCCCUUCCUUAACACACACACUUUUACAAACACAUUAAAUGUGUGGUUUCCCCUCCCCAACUGCAACCUUUACCCAAGAAAUGUCUCAAAGGCAUCUGAUUCCCAUAUUUGGUCUUCUACUAGAAUCAAGACAAAUCUUCUAGCUAAACAUAACUUGCUUGAAGUCAAAAUAAAACUUAAGCCUAUUUGAA